rnacentral:rRNA from 1 species
UACGGAGGGUGCGAGCGUUGUUCGGAAUUACUGGGCGUAAAGGACGCGUAGGCGGGCGUGAAAGUCGAUUGUGAAAGCCCCGGGCUUAACCCGGGAACUGCAGUCGAUACUCCACGUCUUGAGUGCUUGAGAGGGUGCUGGAAUUCCUGGUGUAGAGGUGAAAUUCGUAGAUAUCAGGAGGAACACCGGAGGCGAAGGCGGGCACCUGGCGAGACACUGACGCUGAAGCGUGAAAGUGCGGGGAU